rnacentral:rRNA from 1 species
AGUGUUUUCAUUAAUCAAGAACGAAAGUGAGAGGUUCGAAGCGAUAGAUACCGCCCUAGUUCUCACCGUAAAUGAUGCCAACUGCCAAUCCGCUGGGGAUUUAAUUCACGAGCGGGCGGGUUUCCGGAAACGAAAGUCUUUCGGUUCCGGGGGAAGUAUGGUUGCAAAGCUGAAACUUAAAGGAAUUGACGGAAGGGCACCACCAGGAGUGGAGCUUGCGGCUUAAUUUGACUCAACACGGGAAACCUCACCCGGCCAGCACAUCGUAAGGAUUGACAGACCGAUAGCUCUUUCAUGAUUCGUUGGAUGGUGGUGCAUGGCCGUUCUUAGUUCGUGCUAAUUGAAGUGUCUGCUUUAUUGCGAUAACGAGCGAGACGCCAACUGUUAACUAGUGCGUUGAUUGGUUCGCUUGUCAACGAUCGACUUCUUAACGGGAUUUGUGGUUACUAGCCUCAAGAAAUGGCGCAAUAACAGGUCUGUGAUGCCCUUAGAUGUUCGGGGCCGCACGCGUGCUACAAUGGUGGUAUCAGCGUGCUUGUCCUACUCCGAAAGGAGAUGGCAAACAGUUGAGAUAUUAUUAUGGCUGGAAUUGAGUGUUGAAAUUUUCACUCAUGAACGAGGAAUUCCAAGUAAAUGCGAGUCAUCAACUCGCAUUGAUUACGUCCCUGCCCUUUGUACACACCGCCCGUCGCUCCCCGGGACUGAGUUGUUUCGAGAAAGCCACGGACCGGUGUCGCUCGUGUUUCGCACGUACGAC